CUCAUCUUUCUUCCUCAUCCCGCCUACCUUUUGUGACUUAUACUCUUAGAGGAAGAGGAACUUUAAAUUAUUUUAGGACCCAGGAGAGGCAGAGACACACACCUGGACAACCCUGCAACAAAAACCUAAAACUACAUUUCAGGACGUCCGUGCUGCAUUCUUUGCUCUUUUUCCCCUCUUUCCUGCCAUGACCACCCCUGCAUCCCUCUUCCCUGCCCCCCGUGGCAUCGACCUCAGCCUGCCCACCUGCGGAGAGACGCAGUGCAACAGCCACGGUGCCUGUGUGCUACCUCCGGGUGGAGGGGCCAACCUGUUGUGUGACUGUGACCUGGGCUACCAGGGCGAGUUCUGCGAGGACACGGUGAACGGGGCGUUGAGUGUCCCUCUGACCCUGAGUGUGCUGGGCGUCAUCAUUGGCGUUGUGAUCCUGGCUUUCAUCAUCGCCAAGUUCAGGCAAUUUCAGAAGAAGAAACGCAGGAGAAAUGCUGCAAAGAAAUUUGGGUUAGACGUUGUUGUGUAAUGAGAAGAAUCUCCUUCUAUCUGAGGUCAACCAUGUUGGAUUGCAGUCCAGUUUGUUCAAGUAUGAAUCUUACAGAAAUGGAAUCAGGUACACACUUGUCUUGGCACAAUGUCUGACUUCAACUGUUUGACUUGUGCUGCAGCAUCAACUAAAACUCUAAUACUGAACUGAUCAACCGAACUUUUACUGCCUAGAAAGCCACUGACUUGUGAUUCACUGAUGUUUCACAGUUUUUUUGGUCAUCGUUAUAGUGUAAAUGUGUUAUUUGACUGAAAGUUGCAAUGUGUCUAAAGUCUUUUUAAAAGAAGUUCCUGAUUUUAUUAACAUAUGCGGGUGUCUCAGAAUCACAGCUGAUCGUCUUGUCAGAUUUCACUGAUUCAUCAAGUAGAGACUUGAUUGUUAUUUUUGUUAUAUUAUUUUGUACACCACUGACUGAAUUAAUGUUUUUGUGACUCUUUGUCGUUGUUAACCACAAGUUUCUUUCUCUGAAGUGAUGAGUCAGACUGACAAAAGAGACAAUAAUGAGUUUGGAUAUGCGCCUCAGUUUAUGUGCAACAAUGUGGAGAAUCACAAUCACUGGUGAUUUCUGUUUUUACUACUGCACACAACACCUGGCGUCUGAUACUGUAGGUAGAUACAUAACUGUACCAGCAGAUCACUGAUCCUGGCAGAAACAUAUGUUUAUGACGUGAAGUGACCAAGAGAAAAGAUUGUGCUUUUUAUUUCUGCCACGGAAAACGUGUUAUUGACCGACCGAAACCACAACGUGUGCACACACCUUCUCAGAUCCUGUUCUGCUUCAUUUUAAAAUUCCUCUUCUGCCAUAAAUGUUCCACAGGUAAACAUAGGGCUGGUUUUUUGUCUCAUUUAUUCGUUAUAAAUAUGUUGUUUGAUAUUUUUAGUUGCUUUGUGUGCCUAGUGAUGCUGUAUAUUUAUCUUUGUAUGACAUUUUUGAAUCCGUCUGUAUAGAACUAACUUAAAGUGGAGCGAGCAACAAUAAGUCUUUUAUAAAACGUAUUUCUUUGACCCUGCUGUUGUCAAGGAUACCUUUUCUUUUGCUUUCCUUCAUUGACAUGUAUACUUUAUUAUUUAGGCUGAAGACAAUACUGGACUUUAAGUUAGUUUGGGCAGCUGUGUUUUAUUUUCAAUAUACAACUAAUACACAUGUAUGGUCUAUGGUCAUUUAAAACUCAUUAUUCAGUUGUUCCAGGGGAAGGGUUCACAGUUUGUGUGUGUUGUGUUUACACUGAAAACUGUUAAAACUUUCUCUGGAAUCCAGUUACACAAUCUUCAGUGUUUAAUUAACUCAACAAAAACCAGGUGAUGAAAUUAAAUUAUGAAAGUUGACCACAGUGGUAUUUUUAUACAAGACGGCAUCGGCAUCUGUUUCAUCAAGGAAGAGAAGGGAUCUGCCCCGAGGGUGAAACCAUGUCGCCGCCUGUCUUAUUAUCAAUGAGCCAUCUUUGCAUGUUUGUUUUGCAGGAGGACCGCAGUGAAAUAUGAUGGAAAGUUAGUGGUAUGUUGACGCAGUAAAUGUCGACCAAUCACGAGUCAUUCUCAUCUUUCCUCACAUUUUUAUAGCAUUGAAUAAAUCAUUAAAGCCAAGAAUUCAAAUGAGGAAUGACCUCAAACAAUAAAACGAUCUUUGA